UACGUAGGGUGCAAGCGUUAAUCGAAUUACUGGGCGUAAAGCGUGCGCAGGCGGCUUUGCAAGACAGAUGUGAAAUCCCCGGGCUUAACCUGGGAACUGCAUUUGUGACUGCAUGGCUGGAGUGCGGCAGAGGGGGAUGGAAUUCCGCGUGUAGCAGUGAAAUGCGUAGAUAUGCGGAGGAACACCGAUGGCGAAGGCAAUCCCCUGGGCCUGCACUGACGCUCAUGCACGAAAGCGUGGGGAGCAAACAGG
rnacentral:rRNA from 1 species